GGCAUCCUUGAUCAUAGGUUUACUACAAUCUGGAGGUCCAUAAUUCCUCUAAUCUCGG
rnacentral:sRNA from 1 species